GGCUAUAAACUAGUCAGUACGUAUAAAAGUCUCGUAACGGUCUCACAGUGAAUUUUGCUCUUAUAUACGUAUGUAUAUACAAACACGGGACUUAAAAUAAAUACAGUGUGCGUAUUAUAAAAAAGAAAAUACCAAACAAGUAACAGCAAGUAGCAAUUGCGACCAAGGACCUGACAGUACGGAACACACGCACGCACACACUCGUACUAAUUAGGAUAUAAAAUUAGUAAUUUUAAAAGACGACAAACAUGGUUUUAUGUAGAGUAUGCGACACACACUUAGAAAAUCCGCAAAGGGACGCAUUUUGCGAUGGAUGCAGAGAAGAAUUAAGAACUUCUUCACCAUCAAUAUUUUGGACGAGCGUGGGGACAUGCGAAACUUGCGGAAUAACUAACACGGAAGACAGUUUAAGUGAUCUCCUUUUGGCGUACAUCCUGUAUUGGUAUCCUUUCCAUCAUCCUGUCUGGGGUUUUCUCGUACGCGUUUACAUUUUUCUAUCCAUGGCACGCCGCGGCCUCAAUGUGUUUACUGUGGUAUACAUACUAUGCUGGAUAUUGGAGAUGGUGCUUACUGUUAUUUACCAACAAAUGAGAGUGAUGAACUGAGGAAAUAGCGACUGAAUUCAUUCCAGUUGUACAUGAAGAGUUGACGUACGUCCUUAAAGGUGGUUUAGAGGUAAAAGGCGUAUCGAGCUUGCACGUGGACAAGGCCGCGAUCGAUAUGGAUCGAAGCAAAAUUGACAAUGAUCUGUGGGACAAUGGCGAGCAAAUUUAGACAACGAGGUCAAGCUGCUGCUUCUGCUUGAUGUCAAUGAGUCCAGCAACUCAUUGGUAGUCAAGCAGAUGAAGAUCAUCCACGAGACCAGUUAUAGUCCCGAGAAGUGCUAUAACAUACAAGUCGGUCGUCUACAGCAACAUCAUACAUAGCCUCAUUGCCAUCAUUCACGCCAUGAAGUCUUCGCGGAUCCAAACAAUAAAAUUUUAAUUCUAAUAGUCGACGAGUCAUUGUACAAUCUGUAUAUAUAUAAUUCCACAGUAUAACAAAUUGUAAUUUAAAUUUUUUUUAUCUUUAUCGAUCGCGGCAUUAAAGUUGUUUCGUACUGGAAUAAAAAUAAAAAAUAAAAUAAA